GACGAACGCUGGCGGCGUGCUUAACACAUGCAAGUCGAACGGAAAGGCCCUGCUUUUGUGGGGUGCUCGAGUGGCGAACGGGUGAGUAACACGUGAGUAACCUGCCCUUGACUUUGGGAUAACUUCAGGAAACUGGGGCUAAUACCGGAUAGGAGCUCCUGCUGCAUGGUGGGGGUUGGAAAGUUUCGGCGGUUGGGGAUGGACUCGCGGCUUAUCAGCUUGUUGGUGGGGUAGUGGCUUACCAAGGCUUUGAUGGGUAGCCGGCCUGAGAGGGUGACCGGCCACAUUGGGAUUGAGAUACGGCCCAGACUCCUACGGGAGGCAGCAGUGGGGAAUAUUGCACAAUGGGCGGAAGCCUGAUGCAGCAACGCCGCGUGCGGGAUGACGGCCUUCGGGUUGUAAACCGCUUUCGCCUGUGACGAAGCGUGAGUGACGGUAAUGGGUAAAGAAGCACCGGCUAACUACGUG
rnacentral:rRNA from 1 species